GGAAUAUUGGUCAAUGGGGGCAACCCUGAACCAGCCAAGUCGCGUGAAGGAUGAAGGUCUUAUGGAUUGUAAACUUCUUUUAUACAGGCAUAAAUUGGGGGACGUGUCCCCUUUUGCAUGUACUGUAUGAAUAAGGAUCGGCUAACUCCGUGCCAGCAGCCGCGGUAAUACGGAGGAUCCGAGCGUUAUCCGGAUUUAUUGGGUUUAAAGGGUGCGCAGGCGGGAUGGUAAGUCGGCGGUGAAAUUUUGCAGCUCAACUGUAAAAGUGCCUUCGAUACUGGCUUCCUUGACUGUGGAUGAAGUAGGCGGAAUUUGUGGUGUAGCGGUGAAAUGCUUAGAUAUCACGAGGAACUCCGAUUGCGCAGGCAGCUUACUAAGCCACAACUGACGCUCAUGCACGAAGGCGUGGGGAUCAAACA
rnacentral:rRNA from 1 species